CCAUAAACGUUAGCAUUGGUUAACAUUGUUUAAUUUGAUUUCUGGUCUUCCACGUAAAUAAUACAUGCAUAUAAUAUAUAGAAAAAUUGAUGUACUUUUAUGCAAGAUAUAGCGUUGAAUUAGAAUACAAAUACUAAUAAUAUGAUUAGAAUUAGUAAAUGACAAGAACAUUCCAAUACUAUUCAAACUUGUAUUUUAUGUUUCCUCCCAAACACAUCCAAAGAUUAGAAGAACAAAACUAAAUUCUCCUAGAUAUCCUACUCGUCAAUCUUCAUCUUCAUCAAUUGUCUUAUCAGAGAAGAGAGAUGAUCACCAUUCUAAAAGACUGUCGUCUCCGGCCAGCCUCGAAAAUUAUUCUGAUGAGACAUAAUAGAAAGGUACGUAGAUGUGCCUAUAGGAGCAUUAUUUCUAGUCUCCCCUUGGCGGCCGUCACCUGAUGUACUCAUUAUUAUGGCUUGAGUUUAAAAAAUCGCGACUUCACAAAAUAUGAGGAGAGACAUGAAAGCAUAUUGUCAUCGCGAAGAGUUGGAAAGCAAGCAUCAAGCCUCACAAGCAUAAAUGGAGGUGAGAUGCAAAUCACGCAAGCUGGUACGGAUAAAAGCCCACUCUUCCCGGUUAUUGGGGUAGAAGAGAUAGGCUGCUAGCGCCUCAGACUCUUCUCUGUGAAACGAAAUAAAAAAAGAG
rnacentral:lncRNA from 1 species